rnacentral:rRNA from 1 species
GACGAACGCUGGCGGCGUGCCUAACACAUGCAAGUCGAGCGGAGAAAUUAAAGCUUGCUUUAAUUUCUUAGCGGCGGACGGGUGAGUAACACGUGGGCAACCUGCCCUUGAGAGGGGGAUAACACAGAGAAAUUUGUGCUAAUACCGCAUAACAUUUAGACUUCGCCUGGAGUUUAAAUCAAAGGAGUAAUCCGCUCAAGGAUGGGCCCGCGGCGCAUUAGCUAGUUGGUGAGGUAAUGGCUCACCAAGGCGACGAUGCGUAGCCGACCUGAGAGGGUGAUCGGCCACAUUGGAACUGAGACACGGUCCAGACUCCUACGGGAGGCAGCAGUGGGGAAUAUUGCGCAAUGGGGGAAACCCUGACGCAGCAACGCCGCGUGAGCGAUGAAGGCCUUCGGGUUGUAAAGCUCUGUCUUUGGGGACGAUAAUGACGGUACCCAAGGAGGAAGCCACGGCUAACUACGUGCCAGCCGCCGCCGUAAGAC